rnacentral:tRNA from 1 species
UAGCUCAGUUGGUUAGAGCAACCGGCUCAUAACCGGUUGGUCGCAGGUUCGAGUCCUG